GACGGAGGGUGCUAGCGUUGUUCGGAAUUACUGGGCGUAAAGGGCGCGUAGGCGGCUCUGUCAGUCGGGUGUGAAAGCCCGGGGCUCAACCCCGGAACGGCACCCGAGACGGCGGGGCUGGAGACCGGGAGAGGAGGGUGGAAUAGCCAGUGUAGAGGUGAAAUUCGUAGAUAUUGGCUGGAACACCGGUGGCGAAAGCGGCUCUCUGGCCCGGUUCUGACGCUGAGGCGCGAAAGCUAGGGGAGCAAACGGG
rnacentral:rRNA from 1 species